GGAUUGACUUUGACGAAGACGAGUACGCAUACCACGUGCGUUCCAGAGAGUCGGCGAAUGGUGUGAGCCGAUACGCAUAGGAUGUCGAAUGGACUUCUGAGUCGCUGGCUGAACCCACAUUGUGGCAGUAUGCCUUGCCGGGCGUGCCUCUCCGUUACCAAGAGGCAGGUAUCGAGAUCAUUUUUGUUUCGUUGGUCUCCGUACUGUAAAGUGCGUCGGGCAUACCCCGGCGAAUUAGGGUGGCACCACGGUCUCACGUCCCUUGG
rnacentral:ncRNA from 1 species